GGGGACAGGGUAGGCAGCAACAGCAUCUGUCUUAGAUUUGUCAACUUCGACUCCGUCUUUAGAUACCACAUGGCCUAGAUAAUGAACCUUACCUUGAGCAAAGGAACACUUGCUUGGUUUGAGUGUUAGCUGUGCCUGCCUAAGCCUAUCAAAAAUUUCUUAAAGAUCAGAAUUGCCUAAGUCAAAGGUAAUAGGAUCAGAUGUCUGUGUAGCCGAGGAAGAUGGGGAGGAAUUUGUGGCAUCUACAGGUGUGUCAAGGGACAUGACAAAGUUUUCAGCAAUGACGGAUGCAAAACCUAUCACAGUUUCAGGUGAAAGUGUGACUUGUUCUUCAGAGGGAUUCAUGACCUGGACAACGCAAGUCUGAUUUGACCGAAUGACUGAAACACACUUAGCUCCUACUAGUCCUAUUGAAGGUAGUUGGUGAACGGGUUCAAAAAGUAUGUUUGAGUUUGGUGGUAGGUCUUGUACCGUAACUGUAAUAUUGUUUAUCGACAUUGGGGGAAGAUUGUAGUGAUAUGUGGUUUGAGCCAAAGACACCUCAGUGUGAAUAGAAAGAAUUUGAUUCGUUUCGGGAUUUUUCAAAAAUAAAGUUUUCCUUUUUAUGUCAAUAA